rnacentral:piRNA from 1 species
UGUAAAACCAUCAGGGGUUUGUUUAGCCUA